rnacentral:rRNA from 1 species
AGCGGGGAAGGGUAGCUUGCUACCUGACCUAGCGGCGGACGGGUGAGUAAUGCUUAGGAAUCUGCCUAUUAGUGGGGGACAACAUUCCGAAAGGAAUGCUAAUACCGCAUACGCCCUACGGGGGAAAGCAGGGGAUCUUCGGACCUUGCGCUAAUAGAUGAGCCUAAGUCAGAUUAGCUAGUUGGUGGGGUAAAGGCCUACCAAGGCGACGAUCUGUAGCGGGUCUGAGAGGAUGAUCCGCCACACUGGGACUGAGACACGGCCCAGACUCCUACGGGAGGCAGCAGUGGGGAAUAUUGGACAAUGGGCGAAAGCCUGAUCCAGCCAUGCCGCGUGUGUGAAGAAGGCCUUUUGGUUGUAAAGCACUUUAAGCGAGGAGGAGGCUACUUGGAUUAAUACUCUAGGAUAGUGGACGUUACUCGCAGAAUAAGCACCGGCUAACUCUGUGCCAGCAGCCGCGGUAAUACAGAGGGUGCGAGCGUUAAUCGGAUUUACUGGGCGUAAAGCGUGCGUAGGCGGCUUUUUAAGUCGGAUGUGAAAUCCCUGAGCUUAACUUAGGAAUUGCAUUCGAUACUGGGAAGCUAGAGUAUGGGAGAGGAUGGUAGAAUUCCAGGUGUAGCGGUGAAAUGCGUAGAGAUCUGGAGGAAUACCGAUGGCGAAGGCAGCCAUCUGGCCUAAUACUGACGCUGAGGUACGAAAGCAUGGGGAGCAAACAGGAUUAGAUACCCUGGUAGUCCAUGCCGUAAACGAUGUCUACUAGCCGUUGGGGCCUUUGAGGCUUUAGUGGCGCAGCUAACGCGAUAAGUAGACCGCCUGGGGAGUACGGUCGCAAGACUAAAACUCAAAUGAAUUGACGGGGGCCCGCACAAGCGGUGGAGCAUGUGGUUUAAUUCGAUGCAACGCGA